rnacentral:rRNA from 1 species
CAAGUGGUGGAGCAUGUGGUUUAAUUCGAUGAUACGCGAGGAACCUUACCUAGGCUAGAAUGCGCGUGACCGCCUCAGAGAUGAGGCUUUCCUUCGGGACACGAAGCAAGGUGCUGCAUGGCCGUCGUCAGCUCGUGCCGUGAGGUGUUGGGUUAAGUCCCGCAACGAGCGCAACCCCUACUUUUAGUUGCCAGCAUGUAAUGAUGGGGACUCUAGAAGGACUGCCUGCGCAAGCAGUGAGGAAGGCGGGGACGACGUCAGGUCAUCAUGGCCCUUACGCCUAGGGCUACACACGUGCUACAAUGGCCGGUACAGAGGGUCGCUACUGCGCGAGCAGACGCCAAUCUCACAAAACCGGUCUCAGUUCGGAUCGGAGUCUGCAACUCGACUCCGUGAAGCUGGAAUCACUAGUAAUCGCGUAUCAGCAAUGACGCGGUGAAUACGUUCCCGGGCCUUGUACACACC